GCUCUGAGGUCAAUGAUGGUUAUCUCUCAGAGUGACUUCACCGGAUCGUUGUGACUACAGUGAUUUCGACCCAGACAUGUGGAAAGCGGAGAGUCCAGUCAGAGCCAGGAUGGGAUGUUCAGAAUGGAAGUCUUUGGUCCUCUGUGGCCUGGUGUUCGUCUUGACGGUUGUACAGAGUUCAGACGAAUUAGAGCGGAUCUUUCCGGUUUCUUUGAUUGAUGGGGUUGCGCAUUCGUCUCCUCAUGUGUCAAGCAAGUAUUUUAGGGAAAAGAUAUGCGAUUUGUAUUGUGAUUUUAUGUGUUUUUCAGUGGAUGAAACCAAAAUAAUCUAACUUAAUAUAGUUAUUGUCUGAUUAUUUUUCGUUGGUUUUGAGAUCCAUUAUGUUAAUGCUAACCCUGCUGAAUAAAAAAAAUAAAAUGUAAAGUAAAUAAACUAACCUAAAGUAAUUUGCUGGUUUUAGUUGAUUACCAAGCCUGACCAGUUGAGAAGUGCUCGAAACCUUCUUCUAAAUCAUCAAAAUAGGCUUGCCAAACCAGCUCAGCCAGGCUUGCAGACCAACUUGGGCUGGUAUCAUUUUUUUUUUUUUUAGCAGGGAAUGCUAAUGUGCAAAAUUCAUCUCAGAUUUGUUUCAUACCGGAGGGUCUGAUUAAAUGACGUGGAUCCUGCUGUGAAAAUGCACCGUUCUCUUUAGAGACGGACAAGUGUGGACAAGUCUUUCACAUGCCUCAAAAUCCCAUCUGUGCAGUUACACAUUUAAACUAGCGAAACUGAUUAUCUUUGAGCAGCUAAAGCCAAUUCCCCUCAGCCUCAGCCCUGUGGCUUUUUGUUCAUAUCGACGUUCCUUCAAUAUCAAUAUAUCUGAAUUCGCCCGCAUUUAGCUUCUUUAUUAAGAUCUUGGAUCCAGAUCUCGGAUUCCUUUGUUUUGGGUUUUAUACCUCAGACUACACGGCUCUCUUUGUGUCUUUCUUCUUUUUGUCUCCUGCUUUUUGUUUUUCCUCUUACCCAGGGGUUUUCUAUCAGACUGAGGGAUCAGACUUCCCAUAAUGCCGAGCGGCCGGGGGGUCAAUACGCCCGCAUUCGUCUUCACUGUCUUUCAUCAGCCCUCCUCCUGAUCUGUAUGAUAAGAAAGGAGAAUAGCAGGUCGGGGGCAGACCGCUCAGCAAGGUGUGUAUGUUGUCCGACGGCCCCCUGCAGCCGAGCUCUUUAAAUCCUCAUUAGGAUUUAACCGGGAGGAGACGCUGGUUUUAAUAGAUUAAGCCUCAUAACAGCUGCCUCUUGAUUGGUGGUUGUCAUGCAAAAAUCAAACAGGGCCAGUCACAUGUUACUCGUUCACUGUGUUUCCUGCUCUUCCCGCAUGGCCUGUUUUGAUACAAAACAUUGUGUUAUUGGUGUCUGUUACUAAUUUGUUUGUAGUGUAGCUGGCAGCAUGGUUUCGGGAUAAUAGACUUCUGGGUGUGGGUGAUCUGAUGAGAAAGUGAUUGAAACUCAUUCGCGUUGCUAAUUCAUUUGCAUUGUUUUGCAUUAAGCUCUAAUCAGCUGCGUAAAGCAGAUUAGCAUUGGAUGGACAUUUGUUUGUAAGAGACUGAAAUUCUUCUUGUGGCAUUCAGUCGGGGAACAACAAACUAAAAAUGGCA
ensembl:lncRNA